CGGUCCUGAGUAAAGUAGGCGCACGGGUGAGUAACGCGUAGAUAACCUGUCUUCAUGUCUGGAAUAAUACGCCAAAGGGGUACUAAUACCGGAUAUCUUGCUUUUCAUAAGUUAUGCAAGCAAAGGUGGCCUCUGCAUAUGCUACUGCAUGAAGAGGGGUCUGCGUACCAUUAGCUAGUAGGUGGGGUAAUGGCCUACCUAGGCGACGAUGGUUAGCGGGUCUGAGAGGAUGAUCCGCCACACUGGCACUGGAACACGGGCCAGACUCCUACGGGAGGCAGCAGUGAGGAAUAUUGCGCAAUGGGGGAAACCCUGACGCAGCGACGCCGCGUGAAGUGAGGAAGGCCUUCGGGUCGUAAAGCUCUGUCAAGAGGAAAGAAGUGUACAAUGGCUAAUACCUGUUGUAUUUGACGGUACCUCUAAAGGAAGCACCGGCUAACUCCGUGCCAGCAGCCGC
rnacentral:rRNA from 1 species